rnacentral:rRNA from 1 species
ACCAGACUCCUACGGGAGGCAGCAGUGGGGGAUAUUGCACAAUGGGGGAAACCCUGAUGCAGCGACGCCGCGUGGGCGAAGAAGUAUUUCGGUAUGUAAAGCCCUAUCAGCAGGAAAGAAAAUGACGGUACCUGACUAAGAAGCCCCGGCUAACUACGUGCCAGCAGCCGCGGUAAUACGUAGGGGGCAAGCGUUAUCCGGAUUUACUGGGUGUAAAGGGAGCGUAGACGGCAGUGCAAGUCCGGAGUGAAAGCCCGGGGCUCAACCCUGGGACUGCUCUGGAAACUGUAAAGCUGGAGUGCGGGAGGGGCAGGCGGAAUUCCUGGUGUAGCGGUGAAAUGCGUAGAUAUCAGGAGGAACACCGGCGGCGAAGGCGGCCUGCUGGACCGUAACUGACGUUGAGGCUCGAAAGCGUGGGGAGCAAACAGGAUUAGAUACCCCCGUA